rnacentral:rRNA from 1 species
UACAGAGGGUGCAAGCGUUAAUCGGAAUUACUGGGCGUAAAGCGUGCGUAGACGGUUACAUAAGUCGGGUGUGAAAGCCCCGGGCUCAACCUGGGAAUUGCAUUCGAGACUGCGUAGCUAGGGUGCGGAAGAGGGAAGCGGAAUUUCCGGUGUAGCGGUGAAAUGCGUAGAUAUCGGAAGGAACACCAGUGGCGAUAGCGGCUUCCUGGUCCAGCACCGACGUUCAGGCACGAAAGCGUGGGGAGCAAACAGG